rnacentral:sRNA from 1 species
UAUUCUGCCCCACGGGGAAGGAUGAGAAGCUUCGACUAAGGUUCGACUCGAGCGUAGCGAGAGAACGUUGCUGCAGGCAACGGCCCGAAGGGCGAGGCGCUUUAGCGCCGAGUUAUCCUUCCCCCACCGCUG